AGUGAUGGGAGCAAGCAGCACAGCGGGGAGCACCGGUCGGAGCUGUCCUCCUGCGUCCUGCUGCUGGCCCGAGUUUGCCCUGAGGACACGGUGGCCUUUCUGCGCUCGCAGCUGGGGAGUGGGAGCGAGGCCGCUCACGUGGUGUCCUUGGAUCUGCUCAGAGCCCUGGUGCGCCCCACAGCAGAGAGAGGCCAGAGCCUGCCCCUGCUCGUGCAGGCGGUGCGCUGCGCGCUGGGAGACCCCAGCAGG